GGAUGGGGGACCUGCUUGUUCCUGAGUGAUUGGCGGCCUUUAUUCGCGGUGGCCGUCUCACCAUAACAGCUCGCAGAACACAGCAGACUUAGCUCCGUGAUCCCGAAGGUUGACGCCAUGUCUGCACCAGGCAUUACAACAUGUGGUCCCAGAAAGGAACUCCAGAUUUGUACAUGAUGAUACCAUUCUCAUCUGUUUCUCUAGACAAGUUUGGACAUGAGUCUGGCAGCUCAAGUGUGGAGCCCAACAUAGGGCUUGAACUCACAGCCCUGAG